rnacentral:rRNA from 1 species
UAGGGAAUCUUCGGCAAUGGGGGGAACCCUGACCGAGCAACGCCGCGUGAGUGAAGAAGGUUUUCGGAUCGUAAAGCUCUGUUGUUAAGGAAGAACGAGUGUGAGAAUGGAAAGUUCAUGCUGUGACGGUACUUAACCAGAAAGGGACGGCUAACUACGUGCCAGCAGCCGCGGUAAUACGUAGGUGGCAAGCGUUGUCCGGAAUUAUUGGGCGUAAAGCGCGCGCAGGUGGUUUAGAAAGUCUGAUGUGAAAGCCCACGGCUCAACCGUGGAGGGUCAUUGGAAACUAAUAAACUUGAGUGCAGGAGAGAAAAGUGGAAUUCCUAGUGUAGCGAUGAAAUGCGUAGAGAUUAGGAGGAACACCGGUGGCGAAAGCGGCUUUUUGGCCUGCAACUGACACUGAGGCGCGAAAGCGUGGGGAGCAAACAGG